GAGCGUGUAGGCGGGUAGUUAAGUCAGAAGUGAAAUCCAAUAGCUCAACUAUUGAABYGCUUUUGAAACUGAUUACCUAGAAUAUGGGAGAGGUAGAUGGAAUUUCUGGUGUAGGGGUAAAAUCCGUAGAGAUCAGAAGGAAUACCGAUUGCGAAGGCGAUCUACUGGAACAUUAUUGACGCUGAGACGCGAAAGCGUGGGGAGCAAACAGGAUUAGAUACCCUGGUAGUCCACGCCCUAAMCGAUGUACACUAGUUGUUGUSAGGCUCGMCCUUGCAGUAAUGCAGUUAACACAUUAAGUGUACCGCCUGGGGAGUACGGUCGCAAGAUUAAAACUCAAAGGAAUUGACG
rnacentral:rRNA from 1 species